AACUGUUCUGAUGAAUGGCAAUGUUCAACUGCUCUGAAUAAAGUUGAGUGAUAAAGGCCUUUCUGAACAGAU